GAGAGCUCUCGGAGAAUAUGUAAGUAAAUAUGUAUACUGUACUGCACUGUACGUAAUAUACAAAGUGCAAGGCGGAAUAAGGUAUAAACGAAAUUACAAAUAGUUUGUAUUUAAUUCGUGUUAAGUACAAUAUUUGCUUCUUCACACUGUUAUUCCGUUUCGCACUUGUAAAUUAUUUUUAAAAGAAAUAUAUUUAAAUAUAUUUAGGGUCACUUUACUUACAAUAUUUUUCACGUAUCCUGAGUAUGAGUUUGUUGUAGUUGGUAAGUGUUUGUUGUUGCGGUAGGAUUUGCCUGCGGGUUAUUCCAACGAUGUUAUUGUUGUUGGUGGGUCGAUGAAUAUUCAAAUCCCGAGUACAAAUGUUGGUUAAUUGGGUGGGUUCUUAUUUAUCGAGCACCGAUCCGGCUCGAAUGGACCAAAAUGUCGAGGUACUCGACGUUGAGUUGCCGAUGUGCCAAAUAAAAUAAGAUGAUUAGUUUUGAUAUAAUUUAAGUUUUGUGUAUUUGGUAGGUGGCCUAUAGAUUGAAACUGGGAGACCAUUAAACCAAAUUGAAGUAACGAAACGGUGACCCAAUCAAUGACCAACAAAUAUCUUUCCUGUGACUAAAGGAUGAGCCUGAAAAUGAUAAAUCAAAAAAUCUCCACUGAUUAAAUAAAAAGCUACUACAGAGGGCUCUGCUACCCACAACUUUCCAAAACAAUAGAAAAAUUAGAGCAGACAAACGUAUACAGGAUAUGCACCAAAUUCAAUAAGAAAGAGCGAGCAAGAUAAUAGCACAGACAUGCCGUAACUAAUACGCCAAAAGAAAAGUAACUCUACUCGUCUUGUGCUUAAGGCAGACAUAUCGUUUCCGUACUGCGAUGUGUACGACAAUAAAAGCUGAAGAAACCAUGUAUCAGCAUAGUGACACACAUGUAGUAUUACACUAUGUUUACAUCCAUCAGCUGAUACAAAUAAAUUCAAGCAAAAUAUAAUAAUGAAUAACAGGCAGGAAAAUUGAUCCCGACUUAGUUAUAACUUCAUGCAAUCUUAAAAUAUUAUUGUCCAUUAUAUAUAUGGCGCGUUGGGCACUUUUGUGGGUGAGCAUUUUCAGCCGUUCUCGCGACUGAUGAGAUUUUACACAGAUAUACUCCGCGUGUAUUCUUAUAAUAUAUGUAUACUAUACACACUCUUUGCAUGGGCAUUCGUUCGUACUCUCGCGACAGACGAGAUUACAUACCUAUAUGUUUACUCAGAGUGUUUAGGUAUGCGAGAGCGCUGCAUGCUAUACGCAAUCUUUGCAUGGGCAUUCGUUCGUGCCCUCGUGAGAGAUGAGAUUGAGAGUUUUUUAUAUUUAUUUAUAUUAUAUUUUAAUGAAUAUUAAACGGAAAAUUUAUUAAUUUAA